GGGAGCAUAGUGUAGUCGCUAUCACGCUUCAUUUGCAUUCAUGUUUCCUCGCAUCUUGAAGAGGUCCCGGGUUCAAUCCCCGGUGCUUCCA
rnacentral:tRNA from 1 species